UGGGGUCACUGAGGCCCUAUGGGUCUCUAUGGGGUCAGUGGGUGCCCUGUGGGGCCCUGUGGGGUCACUGAGGCCCUAUGGUUCUCUAUGGGGCCCUAUGGGUCUCUAUGGGGUCAGUGGGCGCCCUGUGGGGCCCUGUGGGGUCUCUGAGGCCCUAUGGGGCUCUAUGGGGUCACUGAGUUCCCUAUGGGUCUCUAUGGGGUCACUGAGUCCCCUAUGGGUCUCUAUGGGGUCACUGAGGCCCUAUGGGGUCACUGAGUUCCCUAUGGGUCUCUAUGGGGUCACUGAGGCCCUAUGGGUC